UAGGGAAUCUUCCGCAAUGGACGCAAGUCUGACGGAGCAACGCCGCGUGAGUGAAGAAGGAUUUCGGUUCGUAAAACUCUGUUGUUAGAGAAGAACAGCGCAUAGAGUAACUGUUAUGCGUGUGACGGUAUCUAACCAGAAAGCCACGGCUAACUACGUGCCAGCAGCCGCGGUAAUACGUAGGUGGCAAGCGUUGUCCGGAUUUAUUGGGCGUAAAGCGAGCGCAGGCGGUCAAUUAAGUCUGAUGUGAAAGCCCCCGGCUCAACCGGGGAGGGUCAUUGGAAACUGGUUGACUUGAGUGCAGAAGAGGAGAGUGGAAUUCCAUGUGUAGCGGUGAAAUGCGUAGAUAUAUGGAGGAACACCAGUGGCGAAGGCGACUCUCUGGUCUGUAACUGACGCUGAGGCUCGAAAGCGUGGGUAGCAAACAAG
rnacentral:rRNA from 1 species